GACGAACGCUGGCGGCGUGCUUAACACAUGCAAGUCGAACGGAAAGGCCCUGCUUUUGUGGGGUGCUCGAGUGGCGAACGGGUGAGUAACACGUGAGUAACCUGCCCUUGACUUUGGGAUAACUUCAGGAAACUGGGGCUAAUACCGGAUAGGAGCUCCUGCUGCAUGGUGGGGGUUGGAAAGUUUCGGCGGUUGGGGAUGGACUCGCGGCUUAUGAGCUUGUUGGUGGGGUAGUGGCUUACCAAGGCUUUGACGGGUAGCCGGCCUGAGAGGGUGACCGGCCACAUUGGGACUGAGAGACGGACCAGACGCCUACGGGAGGCAGCAGGGGGGAAUAUUGCACAAUGGGCGGAAGCGUGAUGCAGCAGCGCCGGGUGCGGGAUGACGGCCUUCGGGUUGUAAACAGCUGUCGCCUGUGACGAAGCGUGAGUGACGGUAAUGGGUAAAGAAGCACCGGCUAACUACGUG
rnacentral:rRNA from 1 species